CCAGCAGCCGCGGUAAUACGUAGGGCGCAAGCGUUGUCCUGGAAUUAUUGGGCGUAAAGAGCUUGUAGGUGGCUUGUCGCGUCUGCCGUGAAAACCCGAGGCUCAACCUCGGGCGUGCGGUGGGUACGGGCAGGCUAGAGUGUGGUAGGGGAGACUGGAACUCCUGGUGUAGCGGUGAAAUGCGCAGAUAUCAGGAAGAACACCGAUGGCGAAGGCAGGUCUCUGGGCCAUUACUGACACUGAGAAGCGAAAGCAUGGGUAGCGAACAGGAUUAGAUACCCUGGUAGUCCAUGCCGUAAACGUUGGGCACUAGGUGUGGGGGACAUUCCACGUUUUCCGCGCCGUAGCUAACGCAUUAAGUGCCCCGCCUGGGGAGUACGGCCGCAAGGCUAAAACUCAAAGGAAUUGACGGGGGCCCGCACAAGCGGCGGAGCAUGCUGAUUAAUUCGAUGCAACGCGAAGAACCUUACCAAGGCUUGACAUGCACCGGACGACUCCAGAGAUGGGGUUUUCUUCGGACUGGUGCACAGGUGGUGCAUGGUUGUCGUCAGCUCGUGUCGUGAGAUGUUGGGUUAAGUCCCGCAACGAGCGCAACCCUCGUUCCAUGUUGCCAGCGCGUAAUGGCGGGGACUCAUGGGAGACUGCCGGGGUCAACUCGGAGGAAGGUGGGGACGACGUCAAAUCAUCAUGCCCCUUAUGUCUUGGGCUUCAAGCAUGCUACAAUGGUCGGUACAAUGGGUUGCGAUACUGUGAGGUGGAGCGAAUCCCAAAAAGCCGGCCUCAGUUCGGAUUGGGGUCUGCAACUCGACCCCAUGAAGUCGGAGUCGCUAGUAAUCGCAGAUCAGCAACGCUGCGGUGAAUACGUUCCCGGGCCUUGUACACACCGCCCGUCAAGUCACGAAAGUCGGUAACACCCGAAGCCAGUGGCCCAUCCUCGUGAGGGAGC
rnacentral:rRNA from 1 species